UGGGGAAUAUUGGACAAUGGGCGAAAGCCUGAUCCAGCCAUGCCGCGUGUGUGAAGAAGGUCUUCGGAUUGUAAAGCACUUUAAGUUGGGAGGAAGGGCAGUAAGCGAAUACCUUGCUGUUUUGACGUUACCGACAGAAUAAGCACCGGCUAACUCUGUGCCAGCAGCCGCGGUAAUACAGAGGGUGCGAGCGUUAAUCGGAUUUACUGGGCGUAAAGCGUGCGUAGGCGGCUAAUUGAGUCGGAUGUGAAAUCCCCGAGCUUAACUUGGGAAUUGCAUUGGAUACUGGUUAGCUAGAGUGUGGGAGAGGAUGGUAGAAUUCCAGGUGUAGCGGUGAAAUGCGUAGAGAUCUGGAGGAAUACCGAUGGCGAAGGCAGCCAUCUGGCCUAACACUGACGCUGAGGUACGAAAGCAUGGGGAGCAAACAGG
rnacentral:rRNA from 1 species